UACGAAGGGGGCUAGCGUUGUUCGGAGUUACUGGGCGUAAAGCGCGCGUAGGCGGACCUGCAAGUCGGGGGUGAAAGCCCGAGGCUCAACCUCGGAACUGCCUUCGAUACUGCGGGUCUCGAGUCCGGGAGAGGUGAGUGGAAUUCCUAGUGUAGAGGUGAAAUUCGUAGAUAUUAGGAAGAACAACCAGUGGCGAAGGCGGCUCACUGGCCCGGUACUGACGCUGAGGCGCGAAAGCGUGGGGAGCAAACAGG
rnacentral:rRNA from 1 species